UACGAAGGGAGCUAGCGUUGUUCGGAAUUACUGGGCGUAAAGCGUGCGUAGACGGUUACAUAAGUCGGGUGUGAAAGCCCCGGGCUCAACCUGGGAAUUGCAUUCGAGACUGCGUAGCUAGGGUGCGGAAGAGGGAAGCGGAAUUUCCGGUGUAGCGGUGAAAUGCGUAGAUAUCGGAAGGAACACCAGUGGCGAAAGCGGCUUCCUGGUCCAGCACCGACGUUCAGGCACGAAAGCGUGGGGAGCAAACAGG
rnacentral:rRNA from 1 species